UUAGUCCUACGGGGGGCAGCAGUGGGGAAUAUUGCACAAUGGGGGAAACCCUGAUGCAGCGACGCCGCGUGAGUGAAGAAGUAAUUCGUUAUGUAAAGCUCUAUCAGCAGGGAAGAAAAUGACGGUACCUGAGUAAGAAGCCCCGGCUAACUACGUGCCAGCAGCCGCGGUAAUACGUAGGGGGCAAGCGUUAUCCGGAUUUACUGGGUGUAAAGGGAGCGUAGACGGCAGUGCAAGUCUGGAGUGAAAGCCCGGGGCCCAACCCCGGGACUGCUCUGGAAACUGCGGCGCUGGAGUACGGGAGG
rnacentral:rRNA from 1 species